rnacentral:piRNA from 1 species
UCCUUGAGGAUAGAUUGCCAUGAUGGA